UACGAAGGGGGCUAGCGUUGCUCGGAAUUACUGGGCGUACAGCGCGCGCAGGCGGUCAUGGACGUGCCGUGAUGACAGACGUCGGCUCAACCGACGUAGGCCAGGGUACACGGACAUGACUGGAGACAGAGAGAGGGAUGUGGAAUACCCGGUGGAGCGGUGAAAUGGCGUAGAGAUCGGGUGGAACGACCAGGGCGGAAGGCGCAUCCGUGGCUCGUGUUC
rnacentral:rRNA from 1 species